rnacentral:rRNA from 1 species
AUCGAACGCUAGCGGGAUGCCUUACACAUGCAAGUCGAACGGAGUGGCGAACGGGUGAGUAAUGUAUCGGAACGUGCCCAGUAGCGGGGGAUAACUACGCGAAAGAGUAGCUAAUACCGCAUACUAUUGGAGUGGCCGAUAUCGGAUUAGCUAGUUGGUGGGGUAACUGCUCACCAUGGCGACGAUCCGUAGCUGGUUGGAGAGGACGACCAGCCAAGCGAGUGAUGAGUACAGGCACAGACUUCUACGGGAGGCAGCAGGGGGUAAUGUUGGACAAGGGGGGAAACCCGGAUUCAGCCGGCCCGCGUGUGCGAUGAAGGCCUUAGGGUUGUAAAGCACGUUUGGCAGGAAAGCGGUACCUGCAGAAUAAGCACCGGCUAACUACGUGCCAGCAGCCGAGGUAAUUC